rnacentral:lncRNA from 1 species
ACAAAGUUACAAUUAUGAAGUAGCAAUGAAAAGAAUCUUAUGGUUGGGGGUCACCACAACAUGAGGAAGAAACUGCCUUACAGGAUCGCAGCAGGAGGAAGGUUGAGAACCACUGCUCUGAGAGACACAUCUCAGUAUCAUGGCUGUAACUGUGUCUCCACAGACCAGGAAGCAGAGAGUGAAGGCAGAAGUAGAGUCAAGUAUAAUGGUCAAAGGUCCUCCCCAGCUAGAUGCCACCUCUGAAAGGCUUCAUAAUCUUCCAGAAUAGAGCUACCAGGCUUGCUAGUAGAUUCUGAGUCGG